rnacentral:rRNA from 1 species
AGAGUUUGAUCCUGGCUCAGAACGAACGCUGGCGGCAGGCCUAACACAUGCAAGCCGAGCGCCCGCAAGGGAGCGGCAGACGGGUGAGUAACGCGUGGGAACGUGCCCUUUGGUUCGGAAUAUUCCCGGGAAACUGGGAACAAAACCGGAUAAGCCCUUCGGGGGAAAGUUUACGCCAAAGGAUCGGCCCGCGUUAGAUUAGGUAGUUGGUGGGGUAACGGCCUACCAAGCCUACGAUCUAUAGCUGAUCUGAGAGGAUGAUCAGCCACACUGGGACUGAGACACGGCCCAGACUCCUACGGGAGGCAGCAGUGGGGAAUCUUGGACAAUGGGCGCAAGCCUGAUCCAGCCAUGCCGCGUGGAUGACUGAAGGCCCUAGGGUUGUAAAGUCCUUUCGACGGGGACGAUAAUGACGGUACCCGUAGAAGAAGCCCCGGCUAACUUCGUGCCAGCAGCCGCGGUAAUACGAAGGGGGCUAGCGUUGUUCGGAUUUACUGGGCGUAAAGGGCGCGUAGGCGGAUUUUUAAGUCGGGGGUGAAAUCCCGGAGCUCAACUCCGGAACUGCCUUCGAUACUGGAAGUCUGGAGCACGGUAGAGGUGAGUGGAAUUCCGAGUGUAGAGGUGAAAUUCGUAGAUAUUCGGAGGAACACCAGUGGCGAAGGCGGCUCACUGGACCGUUGCUGACGCUGAGGCGCGAAAGCGUAGGGAGCAAACAGGAUUAGAUACCCUGGUAGUCC